rnacentral:lncRNA from 1 species
GUCACUCCCUCUUCCACAGCCACUCAUUUCACUGUGAGGGACGAUUCCGACCAGGAGAAAUCUACCGUUCAGGUCCGUCGCCGGCGGCAAGACCGGAGCUGUAUAGCGCCGUCCAUCUCUGACGCGCUUCGCCGCCCAGAGCUGUCACGGCUAGCGCCACCCGUCUCCGGCGCGCUUCGCCGCCAUGAGCCGCGGGGUUCGAAGGCAGUAAGACAGAAAUCGCCGCCGCUCGCCUCCGGCACGCUGCGCGUGGCCUGGGGUCGUUGUAUUGGCUGGAGGCAAGAUGGGAUCCAUCACGGCUAGCUCUGUUCGCCUAAGGCGCGCUGCGCCACGCCUGGCCGUGGACUUGGCCGGCGGCAAGACGGGGGCCAUCGCGGCUAGUGUCGCUCGCCUCCGGCACACCCAAGGCCAGCCCAAGGUUGUGGCUGACCCGCUCCCUGUGAGGUGGUGGCACGGUGGAACUGCAGCGCGUGCAGCCGGUGGCUGAGAUUCCGUGGGAGUUUGCGUGAUCACAGUGGAAGAUGCUAACUCGAUGCAAACUCAACAGGCAAAGGUGAGAGAUGAUUCGCUACUUCAUCUACCUUUGUGCUAGUACCUAAUUAGCUCUCGGCUAUAUACGUACGUAAGCUAUUACUGGUAGCAAUGUACUAGCUCUGUACUAGUAGCUAGCUAUGUAGUGAACUCUGAAGUAUGCAAGCUAUCUACUUUGCUCUGCUUUUCAGUCAUACAGUACAGGGGAAAUCACAAAUUGGUGAAAGCACCUUUUAAUGAAUUUAGUGCCUAUAAGCAGGGGCGGCGCUAGGGGUAUUCUUGGGUCUUUAUGUGAAUACCCAUGAUUUUUACAAAACAAUGUUGAUUUUGGUAAAACAGUGACAAUUUUAGAAAAAACAAUAAUUUUGGUAAAAUAAAUACACAUGAAUACCCGGUUGCAAAUUCCGGGAGCCGCCACUGCCUAUAAGAACACAUUUAACUGGAAAACUAAACCUCAAUUACACGUCUAACAUAUCAUAAGGAAUAACCAACAACUAAUCCAUAUUCAUGUAUAUAUUUUUUGAGCAUAAAACCGUUGUGCAUCUAACAUUAAAAGGAACGGUAAGAUAAAUUAUUACAUCUCAAGGGAACUGUCUUGUAGAGCAAUCCUGAGAUACGAAGUUUACAUAGAGCUAUUUAAAAGUGUUUAUCUUGUAUGUGACUUGAUUGGCUACCCAAGACCUGGAAGAACAAAGAAAUAAUUUCUUAUGACAUAUAAACUUCAAUUGGGAAUAUGACUUGUAAGUGAACAAUGCCUGAAUUGGCAGCUGGUCAUUUUUUAGAUGUUGGCCAUCCCGAGUCCGAUAACAUUUGGGAGCUCUACAUACAAUGUUGAUUCAAAAGUCAAUACAAGGGAAUGACAUGUGCAUGUUCAUUUUAAUUUAUAGCGAUUAACUAAUAAAAUUCUACCUGACUUGGUUGAGUGCUAGUUGGCGGCUGGUGAUUAUGAGAUGUUGGCCAUCCCGAGUCCGAUGACACCACAGAAGUCUACAUGUAGUGUUAAUCAAAAAGUAAAUGACCCGUGCAUACCCGUCUUAAUUUUAACAACUAACUAAAUAAAUAUACCUGACUCGGUUGAAUGCUACGAUAGAAAUAUGGUUGUUGUGGUCGCAAGCCAAGUAACUGUUGAAAACUAGUAGUGCCUACCUGCGAUAGUGGAGCAGGCAAGCCAUGAUGUAAUACUUGCAAAUUAUAGGUAUUGAAGAAUUUUCAUCUGCUUGUCCUGUAGGUAUUGAAGAAUGGCACCUGUGUCUCCUUGGAUUGACUGCAUACGCUUUGAUCGGAGAUAAUUUUUAUAAUCCUUUUGACCAAAGCUAAGACAUCGUCUACCCCCUACUUGUCUACUCAUCACUUCAUGACCAGAUUUUGGUCUAAUACCUGAAUCGUUCAAUAUGUCAAUCUGGGCCUUCUGAGCUUCUGUAAUUCUUCUUUGGGAUCGCAGUAGAUGGGCUUUGCUUGGAGUUACAAGUUCAUGAUUAUGAGCAUCCUCAAAGCUGCUUACAACAUACUUUCCAUUACCACUUAUUUUGAUGGUCAUCUCUGCCAUACACCCAACUCUUGUAUCUGCUCGCUUCCGCUGGCAUUGUUCCUUGCUCUUGUCCUUGAAACCUGCCUUUGAGCAUACAAAUUUCUUUGUUCGAAUAACAUUCGUUGAGGAUUUAUCAUGCCAAAAUUUCCUGACACUGAAACCAACAUGUCCUGCAUAUGCAUUAUAAAACUCAUAUGCUAUAUCUUCAUUCUCAAAUUCCAUUCCUAUCUCUGGUUUUAACCUUUUGCUGUAAUCAUCAUCUGUGUUUCGACCUGCCUCUCCCACAUCUGUGGUGUCAUGAUCUACACAACAUAAAAAAUAUAAUAUACUAAUUAGUUCACGGGCGACACAUGGAGUAAAAGAUAACACGAUAUUCACAGUCCUGGUUUUAGUGAAACCUGAAAAGCGCUUAUAGAUAGAACAAUGCUUUUUGGAAAAGGACACAUGGUAUUCACGGGGCAUUCGAAAAAUAUUGAUCUUUUUCUUUGAUACAGUCAUCUCUAUCAUUAGAGUUAGCAAAAAGAGAAUAUGUCAAAGGAGAAAUCUCAGGCAGUAAAAUUUAUAAUAAACUUAGGUGGUACUCUGAUGCAUAAUGUACGCAACAUCGUAGGAGUAAUCAUCACUAACGGAAUUAUAAUGCAAUUCCGAAGGAUUAAUUUGCAUGUGUUUCAAAGAAACAGGGCUACGGAAGAUGAAAUACUGGGAGUAAUUUGCAUGUCAUACAUUCAACUCUUUGUUUAUUUGUUUCUUUCAAUCUUAUCAGCUUCGUAUGAUCAAGAGUGUUGACAAUCUGUACAUUCCAGGCGCAAGAACAUACCUAAGGACGAUGAAUUGGCAGGAGCUCCGUCCAUGCUGAAGAACACCGUAGAUGUUGAUCCACGGAGAGGACAAUUUCCUAUCAAUCUUGAUCUAUUCUCCUUUGAUCCGGGGGCAACAACAAUGGAAUAGAUUGGUACGAGAAAGGACGGAUGAAGCCAUGAAGAGAUUUUGGCGGCAAUCUGUUGUUACGCGGGAGAUAAACCUGUCGUUUUGCUGAUUUUCUGGAACUUAACUACAAUUAUAGAGAUACGCUGGGUUGUUUAAGUGGUGGGGCCCUACCAGGACAGGUGUCGGACAUCCGUUGGCCCUGCACGAUAGUGCGUACUGGGAACCCUGCAGGAGAGCCCGACCCCGCUUGGUGCCGUUUCUUCGUGGGGUUACCGGUUUCUUCUCUCUCCUCUUUAACUAAGACGCCACGUCAGAUUUUGGCUUACGUGGACGGCUAAGCACCGAUACAGACUGGAGCGUUGGGAGGGGCCUAAUAUGUUACUGUAACAUAGCGCUUACCGAGAAAUGACUAGUCUACAAACUAAUAAAUGAAGUCAUCCAUAACACUACUACUAUAUUACUUUACAUUAUAAAGAUAGUAACUUAGACUAAUGUCAUAUGCAUGAUAUUAGUAUAAGUUACUCCCUCCUGUGACCAGCCUGAUGCCUUGGACUAAGAGUGCUGCUACGUACUACGGCUGGGUUCGUCACCGUACCACUGAUUGGCUGCUAAACAUACCAGCAGCAUGGCCUUGUCACGUCGUCUCUCAUGCUCAUAUCAAUCAUCCAUGCAAGCACCACUGUUUAGCAGCUCCACAGCUCGUUAUUCCUCUAUCUUUUCGGCCAUGGAUGCUCGAUGUUCGUCGACCACUCAAGGGCCGACUGGGCACGCAAUCAUCACGUUAAGUAGAGCAGUGCUACCAGUACUCAUUAUAUUCCCCCAUAGCUUAAUGGGCAGCAACGCCAUAGCCUUUGACGUUUUUAUUUAGAAACGACAUGGCCCUUGGCGUUUUGAGCCUGUCACAUCAGUGACGUCAGUGUGGUCAGGGCAGCAACGCUGGCUGGUUUGGCGUUUUGAUGGUCAUUAGCAACGCCACGGUUUGUGAUGUUGCGAAAAGGAUCAGAUUACGAAAUACUUUCG